rnacentral:lncRNA from 1 species
AUUAUAUUAUAUAAUUUCCAACAAUCCUUCACAUGAAUGAAAAAUUAGGAAGAAUUUGAGAGUACAGGCGGACAAGAGAUGCAUCGAGAGAUGUGUCUUUUGGACUUGAACCUACCCUAGUGAAUACUUAUCGGAUUUACUUGGUAACGCAGUGGAUAUGGAAUCUUGAACUGUUCACUGUAGUAGUAAACCGAGACAAUAAGCAACAGACAUCACUAAUCCUAAUAUAUUCCAGUUCAUACGGUUGUAUUCAUUUUGGUCCUGAACAAAUCUUGGAUUCAUGAGAGCUUUAAAGAAUUUAGUCAUCUCAUUCUCAUAGAAGCGACCCACUUCUACUCUCACAUAGGUGACCACUGAUUAAGAAUAGUCUGCUCUAUUUCUCUUAUUUAUAAGAUAUCACUGUAAUUAAGUAUAAAUAGACACCCUAAAACUUUUGCAGGCAACACACUUCUUCCAUCAUAGGAAUGAGGCAUAUAGUGUGUUAACUUCUUUAAAUCAUGCCCAACCAGUUUGCCUAUUGAACUUAGACUAUGGGAUCUCCAAUUAACUAAAUUAGGUUUCUGUCCGGCUGAUUCAUUAGUUAUGUUGGCUUUAGCCUCAUUCCCAUCGAUGAUCAACUUACUCUCUAGUCUAACCUUUAAUGAUUAGAUCCACUACUAGGUUGACUAUUUUAAUGGUGUGCACAAUCCAUAUGAUGAAAUUAUAUUUCAUAUGAGAGUAAUUGUUUCUCAAUUUCAAGUCCUCAAAAGUAUAUAUAUGUUGGGACUUUUGUAAGUAAUUUGCUAACACUAGGAAGUAGACUUCCCCCACAUUUAAGGUAUUUGUAGGAAGGUCUCUAACCCUUCAUACCUUAAAGUUAAUCAUUAUAAGAGAUAACUGCUUUUUAUUCUCUCUUUUUUAAUAAACAAAUUACUCUUUACAAUUUGGACAUCGUGUUUAGCCCUUACUCGGCUAAAUUAUCACAAAGUACAUUUCUCUAGCCUUAAGGCUGUAUUCAAUUUCCAUUAUAGAUUAUGCCUUUGCAUAUCCACCUAUAUGUACUUUGACUUUAAAUUAUCAAAUUCAAUUAGCCAACAUCAUUGAAUUCAUAACAUGUCCAUUCAUAUUCUUGCUUAAUAAGCAUCAUCAUGUCUAGUUUAAUUGUGUAUGCUUGCUCAAUAAGCAUCAAUUUCAGUGCCUCAUCAUUCCUUUUACGAAGACCCCCACACUUUCAGUGAAUACUUCGCAAAGGAAUUGGCUUUGGUUUUUGUUAACGUGAGUGAUAUUAAAAAGGGUAUGUAAUUAUAUUGUAAAUAUUAGAAUCCUUUAUUAGGAAGGUUACUUGUGUGUCUUUUAUUGUUUCCUUAUAGAACAAGGAUUGUAUCUUGUAUAUAUUGUCUAUUAUGCAAUACAAUGAAAAUUA